AUGAACAUGAACUUCAGGUAUUCAACUUCUUUAUGAAUAAAGUGCUAUCUUUGGAGGAAUUCAAUUUGCUCAUCAAUGAACCUAUGUUUAACAGCAGUAUUAAAUCUUUCACGUUAAUGAAUUGAUUAGUCAGUAUUCUUAAUAUGGAAAAAUGAUGUGGUAAAUACAAUUUGCUCAUCAAAUAAGUCAACUUCAGUUGGUGCUUGUGAAGCGCCAAAUGGCUAUUACGUGUAACACAGUGUUAUUCCAAAGUAGUUUAUGCAUCAUUCAUACUGCUCCCAGGUGCAUAUUGUCUAUUUAAUGCUCUUCUAUAAUUCUUAAUAUACAUAUGUUCUAGUGUUCUAUGAAAGUUGAGCUACUGCUAAGUAGAAUACAGAAGCAAAUUCUAAAUCCAUAGUAAUAUUAAAUCUUUGGUGUAAUGACCCA
rnacentral:misc_RNA from 1 species